rnacentral:rRNA from 1 species
UUGGAGGGCAAGUCUGGUGCCAGCAGCCGCGGUAAUUCCAGCUCCAAUAACGUAUAUUAAAGUUGUUGCAGUUAAAAAGCUCGUAGUUGAAUUUCGGGGUCAGCAAGUUGGUCGUGCCACUGGUAUGCACUGGCUUUGCUGAUUCCUCCUUCUUGAAGAACCGUAAUGCCAUUAAGUUGGUGUUGCGGGGAAACAGGACUGUUACUUUGAAAAAAUUAGAGUGUUUAAAGCAGGCUAACGCUUGAAGACAUUAGCAUGGAAUAAUGAAAUAGGACGACGAUCCUAUUUUGUUGGUUUCUAGGAUUGACGUAAUGAUUAAUAGGGAUAGUUGGGGGCAUUAGUAUUCAAUUGUCAGAGGUGAAAUUCUUGGAUUUAUUGAAGACUAACUACUGCGAAAGCAUUUGCCAAGGAUGUUUUCAUUAAUCAAGAACGAAAGUUAGGGGAUCGAAGACGAUCAGAUACCGUCGUAGUCUUAACCAUAAACUAUGCCGACUAGGGAUCGGAUGAUGUUAAUUUUAUAAUGACUCAUUCGGCGCCUUACGGGAAAC